rnacentral:rRNA from 1 species
AUUGAACGCUGGCGGCAUGCCUUACACAUGCAAGUCGAACGGUAACAGGUCUUCGGAUGCUGACGAGUGGCGAACGGGUGAGUAAUACAUCGGAACGUGCCCGAUCGUGGGGGAUAACGAAGCGAAAGCUUUGCUAAUACCGCAUACGAUCUACGGAUGAAAGCAGGGGACCGCAAGGCCUUGCGCGAACGGAGCGGCCGAUGGCAGAUUAGGUAGUUGGUGGGAUAAAAGCUUACCAAGCCGACGAUCUGUAGCUGGUCUGAGAGGACGACCAGCCACACUGGGACUGAGACACGGCCCAGACUCCUACGGGAGGCAGCAGUGGGGAAUUUUGGACAAUGGGCGAAAGCCUGAUCCAGUCAUGCCGCGUGCAGGAUGAAGGCCUUCGGGUUGUAAACUGCUUUUGUACGGAACGAAAAGACUCUGGUUAAUACCUGGGGUCCAUGACGGCACCGUAAGAAUAAGCACCGGCUAACUACGUG